ACAUGUCCGACACGGGUCUAAGUGCAGUAUCUGUUCUUAUCAGUUUAAUAUCUGAUAAAGUUUGUAUUUGGCCGCAAGAUAUUUAACCCAUUUUUGCCAGCUGGCGGAGUGCUUGAAGCCUCCUUCUCCUCCGCAGCGUGUAUGCCCGGUAAUGCACAAUUUUCGGAAUCGGCCCACGUUUU